rnacentral:sRNA from 2 species
AUAGUAUAUUGUUAGGUGAGGCUCCUAUAUUAGAUAUAUGCUACUGCCCAAAAAUAUCGAAAGAUGCCAAUGGGUCAACAGGUACUGCCGAAUUAAGGUUUUACUUAAUGUAGCUGGAACUAUUCCAAAGCUGUAUAGUGCUAAAGCUCAACGAAGGAUAUAGUUU